rnacentral:rRNA from 1 species
CCUACGGGUGGCUGCAGUGGGGAAUAUUGGACAAUGGGGGGAACCCUGAUCCAGCCAUGCCGCGUGUGUGAAGAAGGCCCUCGGGUUGUAAAGCACUUUCAGUGAGGAAGAACGCCUGGUGGUUAAUACCCAUCAGGAAAGACAUCACUCACAGAAGAAGCACCGGCUAACUCCGUGCCAGCAGCCGCGGUAAUACGGAGGGUGCGAGCGUUAAUCGGAAUUACUGGGCGUAAAGCGCGCGUAGGUGGCUUGAUAAGCCGGUUGUGAAAGCCCCGGGCUCAACCUGGGAACGGCAUCCGGAACUGUCAAGCUAGAGUGCAGGAGAGGAAGGUAGAAUUCCCGGUGUAGCGGUGAAAUGCGUAGAGAUCGGGAGGAAUACCAGUGGCGAAGGCGGCCUUCUGGACUGACACUGACGCCGAGGUGCGAAAGCGUGGGUAGCCAACAGGAUUAGAUACCCGGGUAGUC